rnacentral:rRNA from 1 species
CCUACGGGAGGCAGCAGUGGGGAAUAUUGCACAAUGGGGGAAACCCUGAUGCAGCGACGCCGCGUGAGUGAAGAAGUAUCUCGGUAUGUAAAGCUCUAUCAGCAGGGAAGAAAAUGACGGUACCUGACUAAGAAGCCCCGGCUAACUACGUGCCAGCAGCCGCGGUAAUACGUAGGGGGCAAGCGUUAUCCGGAUUUACUGGGUGUAAAGGGAGCGUAGACGGCGCUGCAAGUCCGGAGUGAAAGCCCAUGGCUUAACCAUGGUACUGCUCUGGAAACUGUGGAGCUUGAGUGCGGGAGGGGCAGGCGGAAUUCCUAGUGUAGCGGUGAAAUGCGUAGAUAUUAGGAGGAACACCGGCGGCGAAGGCGGCCUGCUGGACCGUAACUGACGUUGAGGCUCGAAAGCGUGGGGAGCAAACAGGAUUAGAUACCCCAGUAGUC